UACGGAGGGUGCAAGCGUUAUCCGGAUUCACUGGGUUUAAAGGGUGCGUAGGCGGGCAGGUAAGUCAGUGGUGAAAUCCCCGAGCUUAACUUGGGAACUGCCGUUGAUACUAUCUGUCUUGAAUACUAUGGAGGUAAGCGGAAUAUGUCAUGUAGCGGUGAAAUGCUUAGAUAUGACAUAGAACACCAAUUGCGAAGGCAGCUUGCUACACAGUUAUUGACGCUGAGGCACGAAAGCGUGGGGAGCGAACAGG
rnacentral:rRNA from 1 species